AGUAAACGUUCAGAGUUUGAUCCUGGCUCAGGACGAACGCUGGCGGCAUGCCUAACACAUGCAAGUCGAGGGGCUCUUCGGAGUCACUGGCGCACGGGUGAGUAACACGUAGGUCAUCUACCCCUAUCACAGACAUAACCCCGGGAAACCGGGGCUAAUAUCUGAUGAGGUCGCGAGAUCAAAGCUUAGGCGGAUAGGGAUGAGCCUGCGGCUGAUUAGCUAGUUGGUGAGGUAAUGGCUCACCAAGGCGACGAUCAGUAGCUGGUCUGAGAGGACGAACAGCCGCACUGGAACUGAGACACGGUCCAG
rnacentral:rRNA from 1 species